GAUGAACGCUGGCGGCGUGCCUAAUACAUGCAAGUCGAGCGAACAGACGAGGAGCUUGCUCCUCUGACGUUAGCGGCGGACGGGUGAGUAACACGUGGAUAACCUACCUAUAAGACUGGGAUAACUUCGGGAAACCGGAGCUAAUAACGGAUAAUAUAUUGAACCGCAUGGUUCAAUAGUGAAAGACGGUUUUGCUGUCAAUUAUAGAUGGAUCCGCGCCGCAUUAGCUAGUUGGUAAGGUAACGGCUUACCAAGGCAACGAUGCGUAGCCGACCUGAGAGGGUGAUCGGCCACACUGGAACUGAGACACGGUCCAGACUCCUACGGGAGGCAGCAGUAGGGAAUCUUCCGCAAUGGGCGAAAGCCUGACGGAGCAACGCCGCGUGUGUGAUGAAGGUCUUCGGAUCGUAAAACUCUGUUAUUAGGGAAGAACAAAUGUGUAAGUAACUAUGCACGUCUUGACGGUACCUAAUCAGAAAGCCACGGCUAACUACGUG
rnacentral:rRNA from 1 species